rnacentral:lncRNA from 1 species
UUGUCACCAGCGAAUUAUCUGCAACUUCCACCGAGUAAUUUUCAUGUUACAUCUGUUCUAUGGUGGUAAAGUGAAAGAAACUUCAGAAUGAAUUUCGAACUUGGAUAUUAAUUUGUUAUGAUAAAUGAAGAUAUGUCAGAUUCAACGAGGCGGCGAUAAUGGAUGAAGCUCUUUCAUCUGAUAAUAGGACGCAGGUUUUCUGAACUAACGAUGAUCUCUUAUACUUGCAAUCAUCAAUUUAGAUCUUCUUAUGUACUAUACAUAUUUGUUUUUUCGCUAGGCUAUUCUCUCUAGAAAGUGAUAAAGCUUCAACGAAACUGGUACUAAUUGAUCUUGAAGACGAGGAUGAAAGUUUUUCCUCAAUUGUUCUUCUAGAUAAGCACAUACAAAGGAAUGCACAUCGAUUUUGCAUCUUCUCCAAAAUUGUCCUAGUACUUAUUUAUGAGGAUUUCGGAAUAUGUAGUAAUGUAGAUAGGAUAUUGAUCUUGCAAACACUUAGCUGAAAAAUGUGUAUUAACAGCUGUUAGUUGAUUCACAUUGCUCAAUUAGGGCGAUUAUGUGGAAUGAAGUUUUGGACAUUCGGUACUUGUAUAUUCUCAGUCUGAAAUUUGAAAUGAGUGUUACGCUUAGCUAGCUGCUUGCCAUCAUAUAAGGUUCAACAAUUUACUUUACUAUGAAUUUUUCUUUUUUAUCAUCUCUUAUGACUUUAGCUUUCAAUUGAUUGAACUUCUCUUAGAGCAUAUCAGAAGAAACAUCACAAUGCAAAUAACGGAGAACACAUCAAGUUAAGGUACUAGAGAGUAAAAGAGCUCCCAAAACCUUCCUGGAGCUAUUGCAUGAGUGUAGAAUUUCCCUGGCUUCUAGAUGCUAUCUAUCUCAAUUCAGUGAGAUUGUUUAACUAACCUCUCUCCAUAUUAUAAAUGGGGAAAACGCACACAUGUAUUCCUUCCCACCAAAUGUACCAACCUCUUCAUCAAGAGCAGCAGAAGGACCUCCAAACUCCAACUGAUCCCCGCUGUCAUUUUGCAGAGUUUGUGAUUUCUCAUCUAAAUUUACAUGUAUGCUAUGUGGGAUGUGUUUCUGUGCGAUCUGAUUCCAAACCAUCCACAAUGAUACCCGCUUCAUAAUAUUUGUUGCUUGAUUUGUUAAGAGGUGCAAGCGAAUUGAAUGGGUGGUCAGUCCUGUCUUUACUCGUUGAUAUCUUGUACUUGAGCAUUAUUUAGUUGCUUGUCCAUGCCCCUUCUGUACAUACAAUAGUUGAUAUAGUCGUACCAAUCUGACUUGAAUUGUAAAUUUGUAGAUUCCAGCCCUUUUCUCGAGCACCUGUUGUCGUAUAAUGUUUAUUUCACAUCUUACUAAAUCUGAUAUUGGAUUUUUCAGUUCUAACAGACUCUUCAACAAAUUAGUUGACAAUGAAAUGAUCUUUUUCUCACCUUGUAAUUUCCCAUUGUUGUGCCUUCGCCUCAAAUUGCAACUGUUUCCACGUGGUAUCAUACAGAGGGCAUCUUUUACAGUAUGUAAUAUUUUCUUUCUUGAGAAACAAACCUCCCACACCCUGUUGUAUAGAGUUUCACCACUUUUGGCCAAUUUUCACUGUUCUUAGGUGAGGUGUUUUUAAAAUACACUAGGCAUGCUAUUCAUAAUCAGCUUAAGAUGAUACUUCGAGGAAGUCUAGGAAAAUUUCUUUCACAUGGAUGUUCUCAUCAGUGUCCUAUUGACUAGAAACAGAAACAGAAACUUUGCAAUUUGGCUUGGUAAGUUAAAGCUUCUACAUUUGUUUGCAGUCAUUACAAGAUGGAUAUGCCAGCUUAAGUGAUCCAGGCUUAUAUAGAGACUCUCUUUGCUUUAAGAUUACUGCUAUCCUCUAAUCAUGAUCUUUGUCAUCUUUUUACAGUUGUGUUAAUAUGCAUUUUUCUUGUAUUGCACUCUCUCUUUUUCUCAGCAUGUUAACAAUGUUCGAAUAUAACCAUAGAAAUUCGACGGAAAAUGAGGGAACAUUUUUAUGCCUGUUUACAGUAGCACUUGGAGAAGAUUCUUAGGGUUCUCCAUUGUUAAGAAGGUAACUUUGUAAGGCUUAAUGCACAUACAUAACUGAAUUUUCAUUUGUUUAACUAUUAAUUGUGCAAAAAAAACAAUCUACUUUAGAGCUAAGACAUGGGAGUGUCCCAACUGCUAUAAUUAAUAAACGGCUGCGAGUUCCUGAAUCACUUUUCUUACUCUGAUCAGAUAACCAUUGGCUAUUGGCUGCUGAUGGAAGAAGGCGAAAGGUAUGAUGAACAACUUUAAUGCUUUAUCUACAGCAAUAUAUGUAGCAACUUAAUUUUAUAAUCUGGCAUUGCAGGUGUAGCUUUUUUAUCUUGCUUUCUAUUUAUCUCUUCAUCUUAUAAUUGGGAAUGCUUUACUUUAGAGUUGAGAAAAAGGUGCAACUCUCAAUAAGAAUUUCAGCUAUUAGUGGAUGCUAUAUAGAUUGACCUCUUUUCCACGUGCUAUUUCCCCUUACGAGGUGAACUGCUUAUUGUGGAUUUGUUCAUAACUAGUCUUGCAGCGUGAAUAAAAGAAGCUUUUUACUGCAUAUUGGUGGAGUCUGUCAAAGCAAAUUUUCCUUUAUUUUGAAGAAUAAUCAUAAAACCUGCAAUUUUAAAGUCUAUUUUCGGGAUAAAAAGAGCACUCAUAUUAGCAUUAGUUUCGUCAUUUUCAGAUGUGAUUGACUUGUGAUGGAAUGUAUGCGUCCACUAUCAGUCAACUGACCAGGUCCCUUGACUCAGCAAGAACAAUACUGAAGUGUAAAUGCUGGAUGUGAAAGACAUCUAUUGUUCAAAACGAAUUCUUUUUACUACUAUUUAUUUUCGAGCUAAUAGUGUCCUCCUCAAAUAAAACAUUAUCGAGAUAGGCAAAAGCUAUGUGAAAGUUGCAGAAUACUGGAAAUAAAAACAGAAGGCCAAUAUUUGUUUUUUUUUUUCAAGUUUUUCUAUUUCAUAAAACAUUCAUAAUCGUAAAAAAGAAAAGGUUCUCUAUUGACUGGUAUCUUUAUUUCACAUUCUUUUUGAUUCAUCAAAUCUAUACCUAUAGAAUUUUAUAAUCGGCUGUUCUGUAGAAAUGAAGAAAGAAAAUUUGUUGAACUUAAUAUAAAAAUAAAAAAUAAAAUAACGAAUCCCAAAAAUAUUCGAUUUCUAUUUAUGGUUCCACAUUUCAUUUACAUGCAAUAAAAUACCUCGAAAGGUUUAAAGAUAAGAACCGCGUUUUACUUCAGGAAAUGAAAAACUUGAAUCCCCGUUCGAUUCACUGGUCAAACUUGGAUAAAAAAUAGGCUUAUUUCAAAGGAGACUAGUAAUUAAUCCCUUUUAUAUCAUUUGACCAAUCGUAACUUCGUGAUUUGAAUAGUUGAAGUAUUUAGCAAAGACUCAGAAUAAGUAAGAAUAAAAAAUUCUAUUUAAGUUGGUCCAUAUUUUUACUUUUUAUUGACUCCUUUCAAAAGAGGUAAGAUCCGGUGAAUCGGAAACAAUUAAUUAAGAAUUCAAAACUUUUUUAUGGAACAGACAUAUGAAUAUGCGUGGAUCAUACCUUUCAUUCCACUUCCAGUCCCUAGUUUUACUAGUCUUCUCAAGCAAAAGUGAAAUACAGAUUACAACCACAAAAUAAGAUUAAGCUAUUAAUCUCAAAGCUAAGUAAUAACCCUAUUACUUACUGUGCCUAAGCAGAUAUCACACUGCCCACUAAGCUAUCAACCCUAGAUAACUUAGACUUCAACUAAGCAGAUACAACACUGCCCACUAAAUCAGCUAGCUCCUAGUUGACUUAGAAUUUGACUAAACAGAUAUAACACUACCCACUAAAUCAGUUAACUCUAACCGAUUUAGACUUUUACAAACCAAACAAAAGAUUUGAAUCCUUAUAGAUUAGGAACAAAUUUACAAUGUAAGCACAGAAGUAUGAAUCCUAAGACAACUAUGACACAUGCAGCUUUAUCAGGUCCUAUUGCUCUUUUGGAGGAUACUUCACGAAAAUGAGUUUUUGCUUGUGUACUUGAGAAUUUUCAAGAUGCAAAAUCUGAGGUUGUGUAUAUUGAAAUGAACCUUAUAAAAUGAUAGACACAAAACUCAAACUCAACAAAGGUGCUUCAACACUCUAUCAGGUCCCUUUGUUGAGCAUUAGUAUUGUUCUUCUUUGAAGAUGGCCUUUUCUUUUGAGCUUGUGAAUUUUCUUUGUUUGUCAAAUCUUGAGUUUGUGUUUUGGAGAAGAGACUAUCAAAAUGGACACAAACCCUUGGGACAAGGUCAUUGGCUGAAAGCCUGCUGUUAUGAAAAACUGUGCACUAACCACAUCAGAGUUGACAGCUUUUUGACAGCUGUCUUUUCAUCAUUUUCUCAUACGUAGACUUUCCGGGACCAAGUCCCUUGUUGCGUUCUUUAAAAAGACUUGCUAGCUCUCUCUCUUCUUGAAUGAAUAAUGUUAUUUGUUUAUUGUUGGAUAUAUCAGUUACCAACAAGGGUUUUUGACCACUUAAACAAACAACUUCGUCUGCCGUUCCUAUUGGUGAAGUACGCUACACAUCUCACCAACCAACCUGACAGCUUUACAGUUGUGCACCACUUUGAAUCUGGACGGAAGUACUCUGUCAAGGACCGGAUCCCUGCAUUUGUGAGGAUCAUUAAAACACUAGAAUAUAACAUUUUUCCCCUUUAUGAUGAAGACACACAAAUAUUUCUCAUGCCGAGUUUAUUCAUUCAUUUCCCUUUUCAUCAAUCCCAAUACCAUAAGGCAUUUUCUUGGAUCUGGUCCCUUGUUAGAUUCCUAAGUUUGUUAAAUCAUCAAAACUUAACAUCAGCUCCAAGUAACAACUUGUAUUCCUACUUCCUUCCAAUCAGAUUUCGUGAAGAAAAACUCUGAUAUAACUAGGCGAUCGAGCUAGCCUAGCUAACACGAAACCAUACUAUUUCCAUUUAAUUAGUGAUACUUUGAUAGGAAGAGAUGAUAAACGGAGACAAAUUGGGAACUUUAGACUCUAGUUCUCUCCCUCACUUCAUUGGUUAGUAAAUUUGUUCAAUUUUUUCGAGUAAAAUGUGAAAGCAUAUGGACAUUUGGGAUUUUACAUGUCUCAAAGCCACGAUGCUCUGACGUGGGAAAAACAAUUCAAUUUCUACAUAAGGUGCAUUCCUAUAGAUUAAUCUCUUUUCCUUUCCUAUUUCCAGUAAGAAUUUCAUGUGCUAUUUUGUUUUCCCUAAAUGGUUGCUCGUGAACUUUUUUUUAUCUGCACGUUGGUGAAGUUUGCCAAAGCAAUAUUGCCUUUAUAGUUAAAUAGUGGCUUUGGUGUUAUAGAUUUAAAUUAAAUUCGAACAUUAUCUAGAUAAAAAGGUGCCUUGUUUGAAUGGUAUAACAUCACUAAUAUUGCCACUAAAAUGUUUCUUCAACUAGGCAAUCAUACUUAACACGAAAUCGUUCUGUCUCCAAUUAAUUAAUGUCGCCAUAUUUUGAAAGGAUUAAAUAAAAAGGGAGGCAGUUUUUUUAGUUUCACACUCAUUUUUUAGAAGUUUUUACUUGCCCUUUCGUACUAUGCAAAUGGGAGAAAAUGUGAUUAGGGACUCUUUGGAAUGCUUACUAAACACUCUCUCUUAAGCAAAGCCAAUCACUUAAGCAAAUAGCUGCCCAUAUUAAUUAGAUUGACUUCAAUUCUUUAAUCUCAAGCUAAAAAUAUCUUUUGAUAUGAGUUUUUUUUUUUUUUUUUUUUAAUUUUAUAUAGUUCAAUUUCUUUCCUAAAUGGAUUGAUCAACCUCUUUCAUUAAAUUUGAAUAAUGUUAAGGAACUCGUAUUAAUCUUAGUAUACUGUUGAAGAAGAAGGAAGUUGACGAUUGGAAACAUCAUGAUAUUAUUUGAGAGUCAAAUUGUCAGGGCUUUAAUUUGGUUAUGUUGGACUCGAACAGCACAAAUCAUGUUAAUUUUCUUAUUUAAUUGCUUAGGGUAAGGUCAUAAUCAAACCAAAAGGAAUUAUGGUGAAUAUUCACACCCACAUAGUUAGAUUAUAAAAUGAUUGUGCUAAAAAACACAUUGAUGCUACAUAUACAUUACAAGGGAAAAACUUGAUUACAUACGCCAAGAAUGAUAUCUUAGACAUUCGAUCCUUUUCUAAUUGUCAUCAUGCAUCUAUUGGCCUUGGUUGACAAAUAUAAAAAUGAUAUCUUCUGCCUUCUAAUUGAACCUUGUCCACAUUUUCGUAUAUAAAAAUACGAAACAUCUUCGAUGUCAAUUAUCAAAAUUAAAUUAUAUUGCACCAUGUACGUCGGCAGUUAGGCUUUUUUCAACUUGGCUGUAUGCUCUUCUUCUUGUUCAUAUUAAUAUGAUACAAAAAUUAGUAAUGUCGUAAGUUUACUAUAAUAAUGGGUAAAGUUUUAUGACCACACACAUGAAAUUUAACAUGCUGCAAAAAUAGUGACAUCAAGAUUGUAAAAAAUGGAUAUGGAACAAGAGUAGUGGUUAAUAGGUAAUAGGUAAAAAAAAUAAAUUGUCCUUUCUUGAUUUGUCAAAAUAGACAAGUAAUUAGGAACAAAUGGAGUAACACCAUAGUAAUUAAUGUGACCUGAUAUUACAGUAUUAAUGGUUGAGCAUGGGCGGUGCCUUGUUACGAUAUAUUUAAGCAUUUUGGAUGUACGUGCGUACCGAAAAAAUCAUAGUUUUUUGGUUUGUUUAUAAUAUACUCUCCGUCCCAUAUUAAAUGAGCAUAUUAUUAAAAUUCGCUGUUUCAUAUUAAUUAAUUAAUUACUAAAUUAGGAUAGAAUUAAUUAAAAAAAUUCUAUCUUAUGUACCUACUAUUAAUAUAGCCUUUUGAAUAUAAACAAUUUUCAAUACUAAUUAUUUCUAAUAAAAUUGAUUAAUUUAUUAAUAAUUUCUUAAUUAUAAUAUAAAACAGAAAGUGUCCCUCUAACAAGGGAUAGAGAGAGUGUACCACACAACAAACCACCUUGAGAAGUUAAAGAUAUGAUGUAAUGUAAGCAUCAAAUAUAAAGUAUGAUGAAGCACAUGGUGCAACCUCCUCUCAACUUUGGGAUUUUAUUUUCCAAGUAUGGUGGCAUGUAAGAUAUUGUACGUAUAAAAUGAAAUUUUUCUUACGCACAGAUAAAUGGAGUUAUCUUUCCUUUCC